rnacentral:rRNA from 1 species
GAUGAACGCUGGCGGCAUGCCUAACACAUGCAAGUCGAACGGACUCUUAUAUUAGAAAAUCUCUACAUGCUUAGAGGUUCCCUAAUAUCAGAGUUAGUGGCGGACGGGUGAGUAACACGUUAGUACCUGCCCUUCAGUGGGGAAUAACUCGGCGAAAGUCGAGCUAAUACCGCAUAGGCUCGUUUACGAGUAAAGACUUCGGUCGCUGAAGGAGGGGCUUGCGUCUGAUUAGCUAGUUGGUGGGGUAACGGCCUACCAAGGCGAUGAUCAGUAGCUGGUCUGAGAGGAUGAUCAGCCACACUGGGACUGAGACACGGCCCAGACUCCUACGGGAGGCAGCAGUGGGGAAUAUUGGACAAUGGGCGAAAGCCUGAUCCAGCAAUGCCGCGUGGAUGAAGAAGGUCUUCGGAUUGUAAAGUCCUUUCGGCGGGGACGAUGAUGACGGUACCCGCAGAAGAAGCCCCGGCUAACUUCGUGCCAGCAGCCGCGGU